rnacentral:lncRNA from 14 species
AAUGGGGGAGCCCCCCCAGCACCCCAGGGCCUGGGCAGCGGCUGAGGGCCUGGUGGAGGAGGAAGAGGAGCAGGAGGAAGAGGAGGAGUUGGGCAGGGAUGGUCAUGAGGAGCUGCCUGGGGCCGAGGAGCUGCUGGGGGAGCCCCAGGAGGAGCAGGCUGUGGGGCACCCACCGGUACCGGAGCCCCCCAAGCGCCCGAGCAGCUGGGGCCCGGGGAGCUGUGACAAGGCCGGGGAGCACCCCGAGGUGCCCAAAGCCCCAUCCUCGAUGGGGACCCCGGCGCUGGGUGGUGCGGAGGAAUUGCAGGUGCUGAGCAGUGAGGAAGAGGAUGAGGAUGAGGAUGCAGCUGAAGGCAGCAUCCUGCCCCCGUCGGUGCUGGACCAGGCCAGCAUCAUUGCCGAGCGCUUUGGGGGCGGUGGGAGCCUGUCCCGACGGAGCAGCCUGGCUAUGGAGCUGCCAUUGGCACGGCCGGGCAGCCACAGCGGCAGCGCCCUGAGCCUGGACGGAUGCGGCCUCCCCAUUGACACCGGGGGAGCCCAUAGGGGGAUCCCCCGUGGCCGUCCCCUCCCCCGAGCCCUUCCCCGGAGCCCGUCGGGGGUCGCUGCUCUCCAACCGGGACCGGAUGCUCCUGGAGAAGAUCCGGAGUUACUAUGGGAGCAUCGAGCACCGCGAUGGAGGCUUCAGUGUGCGGCGCAGGGAGAGCCUCUCCUUCAUCCCCAAGGGGCUGGUCAGGAGCUCCGUGUGCCGAUUCAACAGCCUCCCGUGGCCCCCCGACGGCACGGAGACCCCCGGGCAACCGGCACCGAUGGGACCGGGGGGAGAGCGGGGGAGAUGGGGCAGGAGAAUGGGGUGCAGAGCCCCAGGAGUGGGGUGCAGACACCGGAGAACGGGGUGCAGAGCCCUGAGAAUGGGGUCCAGAGCCCUGAAAACAGGAUACA